GGCCAAGCUAGCAGAUGUUACAAAUGUUUCUUAGGUGUCAUUACAACAAAGAGGUUAUCAAUAGUUGUCACAAAAGACAAAUUAAUCCAUAUUAGAAUUUACACAAUUUAUUAAUUUUAGUGUUGUACUUACAAUAAUACUAUUUACCAUUGACACAGAUGCAUUUCAAUAGUUUAACAAUUGAGACAGUCAUGCUGGUCUCUAUCAGUGAAAUAUCAUAUCUGCUUAUAAUCCCAACCAAUACUGGAUAUUAUUAAUCUUUUAAAGUUUUGGGAAUCCGAGAGGCCAACGUUGUUAAUUCACAUUUAAUCAUGAAUGAAUUUGUGCAUCUUUACAUAUAUUAGUUGGUCUUUUUACCCUCCCCUUGAAUUGCUGAUUUAUAUCCCUAGCCCAUUUUAUUGAUUUAUAAAUAUUAAUAUUACAUACAUGAUAUGAUUGUCCAAGUAUUUCCUUUGCCCAUUUAAAUUUACUGAUAAAUGUUUUUAUUAAGAAAAUUAGUCCUUUGUCUACAUAAGUCCUACAAAUAUUUUUCCCCAAUUUGUAGUUCAUCUUUUUCCUGUAGAAUCAUUUUAAAUGACAGGUCUUCAAGUGUCUUCAUCACUUUUCCUUUCGCUUCUGUGCUUUAUACUUUUUUUUUUUUUUUGGUUUUUUUUUUUUUUUCCUUUUUGGGGAGAACGGGGUCUCGCUAUAUUGCCCAGGCAGGUCUUGAACGCCUGGGCUCAAGCUAUGCUCCUGCCUCUUGCCUCCCUGAGAGCUGGGAUUACAGGCAUGAGCCACCGUGCCUGGCCAUGGCUUCUGUGUUUCAUUUAACGCUUUGAAAGCCCCAUCUUCUCAAAGAUUAUAUGAAAAGCUUAUUCCAGUUUUUAAAAUAUUUGAUACAAGGGUAAUGUACUUUGGUAUAAGGAGUGAGGUAUAGAUCCAGCUUUAUAUUUUUCUUUUUUUUUUUGAGACGGAGUCUUGCCUUGUCACCCAGGCUGGAGUGCAGUGCAAGACUUUGUCUAAUAAAAUAAAAUAAAGCACAUUUCUGAUACCGUAUUUCUACUCAAAAGCUCUGACAGGCUGGGCACAGUGUCUCACGCCUGUAAUCCCAGCACUUUGGGAGGUUGAGGUGGGCAGAUCACCGGAGGUUGGGAGUUCAAGACCCGCUUGGCCUACAUGGAGAAACCGUCUUUACUAAAAACAAAAAAAUUAGCCGGGUGUGGUGAUGGGCACCUGUAAUCCCAGCUACUUGGGAGGCUGAGGCAGGAGAAUCACUUGAACCUGGGAGGCAGAGGUUGCAGUGAGCCGAGAUUGCACCACUGCACUCCAGCCUCAGCGAGACAGCGAGACUCCAUCUCAACAAAAAAGCUCUGACAAAGAAAGAAUGGCCUAGAAUGUCAGGUAUGGUGCUGACAUACCUGUUCAAUUUCAUUAACCACUAAACUUCAAACUGGUUUUCUUUUUAUAUUUUUAAAUUUUUUUCCCCAAGCAAACUCACAAACUGCGAUUCUAUCUGAAAGAGUCUUCCCUACCUUCUUUGCCUAGUUAACUUUUAUUUUUCCCUAAGAUUUCAGCUUAAGCAUCGUUGCUUCAAGGAAGGCUUCUUUUAUAUACUUGCUUACCACCACAGGCCUCUUUUUCUCAUUUCUUGAAAUAGUUUUACAAUUUGUGAAAUUAAUUGGCUGAGUCCCCAGCAAAAUAAGCUCAUUAAAGUCAGGGUGUGUGUAUAUUGGGGGGGGCGGUCUUUUUUUUUGAGACAGAGUCUCGCUCUGUCACCCAGGCGGGAGUGCAGUGGCGCGAUCUCUGCUUACUGCAAGCUCCGCCUCCCGGGUUCACACCAUUCUCCUGCCGCAGCCUCCCAAGCAGCUGGGACUACAGGCGCCUGCUACCACGCCCGGCUAAAUUUUGUAUUUUUAGUAGAGACGGGGUUUCACCGUGUUAGCCAGGAUGGUCUCGAUCCCCUGACCUCGUGAUCCACCCGCCUCGGUCUCCCAAAGUGCUGGGAUUGCAGGCGUGAGCCACCGCGCCCGGCCUAUUGGGGGUCUUUUUUGCAUUAUCACUGUAUCCCUACACUCAGCACAGUACUAGGUUCAUACAGGAAGGGGUUAAUAAAUAUGUGAUUAAUAUCUAUUGUCCCUUCACAUUCAGGGUGCCAAAUUCAAAGGCUGUUUCUUCUCAAUGUUUUAUUAUUCAGGCCACCACUAGCACAAUCCUUUGAAAAUAAUUUUUUUUUUUUUUUUUUUUUUUUUUUUUUUUGAGACGGAUUCUCGCUCUGUCGCCCAGGCUGGAGUGCAGUGGCGCGAUCUCGGCUCACUGCAACCUCCGCCUCCCGGGUACACGCCAUUCUCCUGCCUCAGCCUCCCGAGUAGCUGAGACUACAGGCGCCCGCUGCCACGCCCGGCUAAUUUUUGGUAUUUUUAGUAGAGUCAGGGUUUCACCGUGUUAGCCAGGAUGGUCUCGAUCUCCUGACCUCGUGGUCCGCCCACCUCGGCCUCCCAAAGUGCUGGGAUUACAGGCGUGAGCCACCGCGCCUGGCCGAAAAUAGAUUUUUAUAAGGUAAAAGAUUUUAUUAAGUACCAUUUGGUAAAAAAAGAUUGAAUGAGGAAUUUAGUACCUAGGCCCAUCAUCAUAAACGUGAGUAUUUUUACUGUUUUCCAUGAAGAGACUAUAAUUAUCACAUGAAGUAAUUCUCCAUAAGGAUUACAAAACAUAUGAGUUGUUUCAUUAUUAAAUGGUGCUUACUAUUAAAAAGAUACUUUACAUGGAGAACUAAUUCCACCAAAGUGAGUAGGUAUAAAAUAGAGCAAAAAUAUUGAACUUAAUCAUUUAUUCUUCAACAAGUGCUUAUUAUGCAAAUAGCAGCAAUCUGCUUUUACAUUAUCUUUUUCCCUUUAUCACCAGAUGAGAAAUUUCUCCCCAUUAUCAUUUUGUGUAAUUUCACUUGUUCUUGUGUAAAUACUUCUGUUUGGUUUUUAAUAAAAAUUGCUCAGUGGCAAAUAUUACAGAAAAACCAAGGUUUUUAUUCUUGAUAAUUUACUGAUAGUCUAGUGUUAACAAAAUUAUUACAGGUGGGAAUGCUUCCUUUUUUCGUAAGUAUUAACAACUUGUAUAUACACUAAUUACAACUUCAAAAUAUUUUACACAAAUAUUCUUUUUCAUAUUAGUAUCUAACUUAAUUAUCUCAGCAACAGCAUUAGUAUAGCAUGGACUACUAUAAACCAAACAUCUUCAAAGUAAAAACUUGCAAAUAUCUUGCUGAAAAUAGAAAAGUUGAAACCAAGAUACUGCCAAUAUAAAAAUGUAAAGCAGGGAAAUGUUUUACCACUGCCAUCUUCCCUAUAUUCUUUCUCUAAUGUAACCUCCAAACUGUAACCUCAGCAUAUCAAAAGAAUUUUCAAAGAGAAAACUAAUCCUAAAUUUCAUGUUUAAUAACAUAUGCCUUGUAUAGGGAACAUUCUCUUAACCAUUUUUUAAUCACUACAACCCAGAAAGACAUGGUUUGGUCUAAAAUUUUCACCAGUUUGUUAUAAAUAAAAUGUAUUCAUAAGUAGAACUUUCUUCAGAAUGUAUUUUUUUUAAGAGACAAGGUCUUACUUACUAUGUUGCCCAGGCUGGAGUGCAGUGGUUAUUCACAGGCACGAUCCCACAACCGAUCAGCAUGGGAGUUUUUAUGUAUUGUAGUGCAAAAAUGUAGGAAUGUCUAGCUUUUUUGAUGUCAAAGUUGUAAUUUAGGGAUUUACUUGAAGAGUGUCAAGAGAUUCUCAAACACACAAAAUGCUGCUAGGAAAUUACAGUUGAACCUUGAACACCACAAAUUUGAAUAGUGCGGGUCAACUUACAUGCAAUUUUUACUUUUUUUUUCUUUUCUGAGACAGGGUCUCACUCUGUCGCCCAGGCUGGCAUGCAGUGGUGUGAUCGCGGCUCACUGCAGCCUCAACCUCCCAGGCUCAAGCAAUUCUCCUGCCUCACAGCCUCCUGAGUAGCUGGGACCACAGGCAGGUGCCACAUGCCCAGCUAAUUUUUCUUUUGUAGAGAUGGGGUCUCACUACGUCGACCAGGCUGAUUUUGAACUCCUGGCCACAAAACAGUCCUCCCGCCUCAGCCUUCCAAAGUGCUGGGAUUACAGGUAUGAUACUGUACCCAGGCAUACAAACAAUUUUUUUUUCCCAAACAAACUAGGAUUGAAAAUACAGUACUGUCAGGAUGCAAAACCCAUAUAAAUGAUAGGCCUACUUUUUGUAUACUUGGAUUCUGCAGGGAAGACUGUGAGACUUGAGUAUGGGUGGAAUUUGGUAUGCAGUGGUUCUGGUACCAAUCCCCUUCGUAUAUAGAGGAACAGCUGUACACAAAUGAGGAAUGAAGCACUUCUAAUUCAGGGUAUUUUCUAAAUUAAAGUAUUAUUAUGAUUUUUUCAGAGGCAGGAUCUCGCUAUCUUGCCCAGGCUGGUCUACAACUCCUGGGUUCAAGCAAUCCUCCUGCCAUGGCCUCCCAAAGUUCUGGGAUUACAGGCAUGAGCCACCAUGCCUGGCUGUAAUUCAAUUUUUAAAGGGAAAUUUAAAAAUAGUAUAAGGCUCAAAGGUUCAAUUAAAGAAACCAUUUAUGAAGGAGAAUAAUAAAAUAUUACUUUGUGUACAUAUGUCAGUGCAGAGAAUUGGGUAAGGGUGAUUUUUAGCUCUGUUAAGACUUGCUUCAGAAUGCCAUACCACAGUCUGAAAGAAUCAUAUGAAAGUAAGAUAUUAUUUUAAAAACAAAAGUGCCGGGCACGGUGGCUUAAGCCUGUAAUCCCAGCACUUUGGGAGGCCAAGGUGGGUGGAUCACCUGAGGUCAGGAGUUUAAGACCAGCCUGGCCAACAUGGUGAAACCCUGUCUCCAUUAAAAAUUUAAAAAAUUAGCUGGGCGUGGUGGCGGGCACCGGUAAUCCUAGCUAUUAGGGAGGCUGAGACAUGAGAAUUGCUUGAACCCAGGAAUCAGAGGUUGCAGUGAGCUGAGAUUGCGCCACACACUCCAGCCUGGGCGAGAGAGCAAGACUCCGUCUCCAAAAAAAAAAAAAAAAAAAAAAAAAGGGUCACAAUUCCCUAAAGCCUAAAACUGGAUAAAAUGUGCACUAACAAAAAUGAAUAUUUAGAAGUAUUCAACUAGUUUUGUUCACUAUGAAAAAUAAUUUUAAGUUGUAGAAGCAUUAUUUCAUUCAACAUUUUGUUACAUCACAAAAUUUUUAAAUGACUAAAUUUUAAACAAUAUUUAAACAAAAAUAUUUACUUCACAUUUUAAUUCAAUGCAAAUUUUCACUAAUUUAGAAGUCUAUGUUAAUACAGAUUGAGUAUACCCUUUCCAAAAUGCUUGGGACCAGAGUUUCUCAGGUUUCAGACUUUUUCAGAUUUUGGAAUAUGUGCAGAAAUACAGUGGUUGAGUUUUCCUAAUCCAAAAAUCUGAAAUGCAAAAUGCUCCAAUGAACAUUUCCUUUAAAGUGUCACAUCGGCACUCAAAAAUGUUCUUAUCUGAAGCAUUCUGAAUUUUGGAUUGGGGUGCUCAAUGGCUGUAUGAGUAUUUGGGGAAUUCCUGGAAAUGGACACAUUAUUACAUAUAAAACUGUCUUACAGACCUUAGAAAUAAGGUUUUACAAUGGUUCAUAAGCUUUACAAAUCUUCCUAAACUACUUUUUAAAAAACAAUGCUUAAUUAUAUAGAUUUUGAUUUUUUUUUUUUUUUUUUUUGAGACGGAGUCUCACUCUGUCACCUAGGCUGGAGUGCAGUGGCACGAUCUUGGCUCACUGCAACCUCUGCCUCCCGGGUUCAAGCGAUUCUCCUGCCUCAGCCUCCCAAGUAGCUGGGACUACAGGCGCCCGCCACCAUGCCCGGCUAAUUUAUUGUAUUUUUAGUAGAGACGGGGUUUCACCAUGGUCUUGAUCUCCUGAUCUCGUGAUCCACCCGCCUCGGCCUCCCAAAGUGCUGGGAUUACAGGCGUGAGCCACCGCGCCCGGCCCAGUUCUGUUUUUUUGUUUUGUUUUGUUUUGUAUUUUGUGUUUUUCUUGAGAUGGAGUUUCACUCCUGUUGCCCAGGCUGGAGUGCAAUGGCGCGAUCUCAGCUCACCGCAACCUCUGCCUCCUGGGUUCAAGCAAUUCUCCUGUCUCAGCUUCCCCAGUAGCUGAGAUUACAGGUAUGCACCACCAUGCCUGGCUAAUUUUGUAUUCUUAGUAGAGAUGGGGUUUCUCCACAUUGGUCAGGCUGGUCUCAAACUCCCAACCUCAGGUGAUCCACCUGCCUCGGCCUCCCAAACUGCUGGGAUUACAGGCGUAAGCCACCAUGCCCAGCCUGUUUUAAAAAUUCUAAUGAACUGGCCUGGUGCGGUGGCUGACACCUGUAAUCCCGGCACUUUGGGAGGCUGAGGCGGGCGGAUCACGAGGUCAGGAGAUCGAGACCAUCCUGGUUAACACGGUGAAACCCCAUCUCUACUAAAAAUACAAAAAAUUAGCCAGGCAUGGUGGUGGGCGCCUGUAGUCCCAGCUACUCGUGAGGCUGAGGCAGAAGAAUGGUGCAAACCCGGGAGGCAGAGCUUGCAGUGAGCCGAGAUCGUGCCAUUGCACUCCAGCUUGGGUGACAGAGUGACUCUGUCUCAAACAACAACAACAAAAUUCUAAUUAAUAAUUAGAUUGGAAAUCAUUAUUUAAAAAAUUAGUUAUGACUCAGAAAAUAUUAUUAUAUAAAAAUUCAAGGAGAGGACAUUAUUAGGGUCAUCUUACCAUUAUUAGCCAUAGCAGUACUGUGUCUUGCACACAUCUACAAAUCAUGGUUUUUUUUUUUUUUUU
rnacentral:lncRNA from 1 species